UGCCAGCAGCCGCGGUAAUACUGAAGGUGCAAGCGUUAAUCGGAAUCACUGGGCGUAAAGCGCUCGUAGGUGGCUUUGUAAGUCAGAUGUGAAAGCCCACGGCUCAACCGUGGAAUUGCAUUUGAUACUGCAUCGCUAGAGUAUAGGAGAGGGAAGUGGAAUUUCUGGUGUAGGAGUGAAAUCCGUAGAGAUCAGAAGGAACACCGGUGGCGAAGGCGACUUCCUGGACUAUUACUGACAGCUCGGUGAGACAGGAUGGCGAGUGAAAAGGACGAAUUA
rnacentral:rRNA from 1 species